ensembl:antisense Gm16291 predicted gene 16291
GGAGUCUUUUUGAAUCUGGCUCUUUUCCUACUGCUAUACAGUCUAAGUCACAGACCAGGUAGUCUGAUGCUCAUCCCAUAGUACGUGCUUUUUAAAUAGGAAAUGGCCAAAUAAAAGGAUUGCAAGAUAUUUCUCCUGCUUAUUCAGGGCAGCUUUAUUUUCUAACCUUGGUGACAUGACGGUUCUGGAAACAGAAUGUUGAAUUAAAUAGAAAGUGGAUACACAGUCCAGGAGUUCUGCCAUCUCAGAAAUAUAGACCUGAAGCUCUACUUGAAUGUCAAGUCUGGAGUCACCUGAACGCUAUCCCUCCAAGGAGCUCAGGACAGACACGAGUGUCAUGCAUGGUCUUCUGGCCUCAUCCAUGACUGGUGUCACAGCACCUGGAAGAAGUCCUAUCCUUCUCCAAACAGCUCCCUGCAUCUUGUCUUUAUUGCACUGUCAUGUGACAUCUCUCAUGUGACAUCCCUCAUUUGACAUCCCUCAGCCUUUUAGGUUUUCAAAAGAGGCUGCCUUUGCUGUGAAGGACAAGUCAGACUUAGAAUCUUCUCUGUCAGUCUGUUUGGUCAGGGGUUACAAAUCAGUUGGAAGCUUGGCGGAGAGUGGAGUUGAGAGCAAAGUCAGGAUUUCCAGUUGGGAGAGAAACUCCAGGAGGCGGGCAGAGAGAAAAUACAACGGCAAAGUAAAGAAGCCACCUGUCAAAAACCUGGAGAGCAAAGGACGUUACAAACACAGAAAGAUGUCUAGAUGAAGAGAUUCACGGGAGAGCAAAACCGAAGCAAAUCUAUCUACCUCAGAAGACAAGCAGAGGAACCCAAACAGACAUCUACCUCCUGCUUAUGAGCCACACUCUGCCCAAGAGGCGUGGCCUACUUGACCCCUCCAGGUGUUUUGUGAGAGCUCUAGACAGAUAGAAAGCCUCACUUUGUGACCAGGGAGGCGCUAUAGCCACAAUUACAGUACUAAAGGCAGGCCUGGUGAACCAAUCAAAAAUUCCCUUCAGGCAACAUAAUCACAGCAUAAAACCCAGUACUGACUCUGCCCUACUCUGUCUUCUUCCCCAGCUCUGUGGUACACACAGUCACUCUUUCCUCAGGAAGACACUGAGUAGGUGCUCUGCAGGCACACGGACUCUUUCAAAUUGGAAAGUCACCCGCCUUCUGGUGUCCAGAGAAGCCAUGCUGGCCGCAGGAUGUGCAUGGCUGGGGUCCAGGCACCCUGGCAGGUUUUCAGGGAUCUCUGCCUUGUCUCAGCCAAGUGAACUCUUACAGCCAAGGACAGACAUGCAAUCUGGUGCCCAGGAGCAUAGGGAAGAAACCUUGGUCUUGCUUGAAUCAAGAGUCUCAGUUUAUAUGUACCAAGAGUGAGGAGCUAAAGGGUCAGUGUGGGUAUUGGCCCAGGAUGUAAAUGUCUGUAAUCAAAGAACUUAGAUUUACAGAAAGCAGUUUUACAUGUCUUGGGUGUGAGACAAUAUUUUGAGGAUUCACUGUGUAAUUAGAACAACAAAAUAGAUACAGAGUCCAGUCUAAAGGUGAAUGUUUGCAUCACCAGGGUCAGGAGAAGGGUUUGAACUCUCCAGGUCUCCAGGUUCAGCUUCUGGCCUGAUUGAUAAGGGCAGGUAGGAACUACAAUUCAAAAGGCAAAGAUUGGCAUAUGUCCCCACUGUGUGCUAUACAUGCCUACUCUGUGUAUGAAGUUUCUGUAUCUUUAUUUGUCCCCUAGUUUCCAAGACCCUGGUGUCUGUGUUUUAUUUAUUUAUAAUUUUAUCUGUACUCAGUGUGCUUGUUUGGGGCUAUUUUAUUUUCUUGGUAUUGCUUGGCAUUGAGCCUGGGACAUCAUGUAUCCGAGGCAAAUGCUCUACCAGGAUGCCACAGCCUCUGCCCUUGUUUUUGGUUUCUUUGAAAUGGGUUGGGCCCUGUUGUCCAGGUAAUCUCAAACUCCUUUUAUACUCUGCCUCCCAAGUAGCCUGGACCAUGGCUGUUCAACACAGUUGGCUGCCUAGAUGUUCUCAGAGACCAUGAAGCACAGCUCCUGGCCAUGUGCUGUGCAAAGACUAGACACAAUGACGACAAGGAUGGUGUCUUGAGUUAAUGGGUGUCUUUUUGUCUGUCUCUGUCUUCCCUCCACCAUUAAGCAUUGCCUUUUCUCCUUUAGCUAUAGAGACUCUUUAUCUUGCUCUAUAUUAACUGUGAGAUGUGAGCUUUUGGUAUAUUUUCUCAUUUCAAUUCAGCACAGAUAGGCGCCAGACAUUCACAUGGGUUUAGAAGCCAUGGAUCAUGGUUUGAAUCUGAAAUUUCCUCUACAAGCUCAUGUCUUGAAUAUUUUUUUCCAAUGUUUGAAUAGUGGCACUGUUUGGGGGAGAUGGGGGAACCUUUUGGUGGCAGGACCUGGCUCACAGCAGUAGGCCAGUAGGGGCCCAGCCCUUAAGUGUUACAGCCUGGCUGCUGGUUCUUUCCUCUCUGCUCUCUGUUCCACAGUGAUGUAGACAGUCUAUGGCAGACAUUGCUGCUUCUGGGAGCUGGGCUGCUUGGCCAUGUCUUCCUCUCCAUGACAAGGACUCCCUAAAACUGUGAGCCAAAAUAAAUUCUCUCACCCCUGU